CAUAUAAAACUAUGAAUUGUAAUUUUAAAUGGUUUAAAAGCAUGUAGAAUACGAUAUGUAGGCAAGUAUAUUUUUCCUUUUUUAUCAAGAAGCAAAGACAAAAAGGAAGGAAAAACAAAGAAACAGUUCGGUGGUUGAAUCAUCCGUCCCCACCAAUGCCGAAACCAAAUCUACGCCCUUGAGUCAGGGUGUAACCAAGCAUAAAUACCGAAAGUCUCCUCCAAUCUCUCCUGCUCACAGUACAGUACUGAACAGUUAACGCAAUAAUAAAGUGCGUAAUAUUACAAUCAUAUGUGACUCUUCUCUGGAGCACUUUCAUCUUUAUGACACAUAAUGGGUAUGGCAGUCCAUUCUCCCUGCAGC
ensembl:lncRNA